rnacentral:rRNA from 1 species
GAUGAACGCUGGCGGCGUGCCUAAUACAUGCAAGUCGAGCGAACGGACGAGAAGCUUGCUUCUCUGAUGUUAGCGGCGGACGGGUGAGUAACACGUGGAUCACCUACCUAUAAGUCUGGGAUAACUUCGGGAAACCGGAGCUAAUACCGGAUAAUAUUUUGAACCGCAUGGUUCAAUAGUAAAAGACGGUCUUGCUGUCUCUUAUAGAUGGAUCCGCGCUGCAUUAGCUAGUUGGUAAGGUAACGGCUUACCAAGGCAACGAUGCAUAGCCGACCUGAGAGGGUGAUCGGCCACACUGGAACUGAGACACGGUCCAGAGUCCUACGGGAGGCAGCAGUAGGGAAUCUGCCGCAAUGGGCGAAAGCCUGACGGAGCAACGCCGCGUGAGUGAUGAAGGUCUUCGGAUCGUAAAACUCUGUUAUUAGGGAAGAACAUAUGUGUAAGUAACUGUGCACAUCUUGACGGUACCUAAUCAGAAAGCCACGGCUAACUACGUG